AAUACCGUUUGUUCUCUGUAGCACUGUGGUACUCCGGCUGCGGGAAAUGCUGGUCUAGUAGGGCGGGAUUUGUACACGCGACAGACACAAGACUGUUAUGAAUGUUGUAAUUCCGAAUACUGUAACAAACAUCUUUGUGAACAUCCGAAACCAUCUGCGUGUAUAGACGAUGCGAAAGCCGAUUGUCCUUGGCUAAACACUGUAUUUAACAUUUGCAAAGAUAUUCACCAUGCUAAAACAGAAUGUCCUAAGUUCUGUGGCUUAGUGCACACUAGUUGAUGGAAACUGGGCUGAAUGGUCGACAUGGUCUCAGUGUGACGUCACUUGUGAAAAUGGUACCCACUCUAGAAGACGGACAUGCACAAAUCCGGCACCAGCUGAUGGUGGUCUAGAUUGUGUCGGACAAAAUGUUGAAAGCAAAACAUGUGUGAAACAACUAUGUCCA
rnacentral:lncRNA from 1 species